rnacentral:rRNA from 1 species
UACGUAGGGUGCAAGCGUUAAUCGGAAUUACUGGGCGUAAAGCGUGCGCAGGCGGUUAUGUAAGACAGAUGUGAAAUGCCCGGGCUUAACCUGGGAACUGCAUUUGAGACUGCAUGGCUAGAGUUUGGCAGAGGGGGGUAGAAUUCCACGUGUAGCAGUGAAAUGCGUAGAUAUGUGGAGGAACACCGAUGGCGAAGGCAGCCCCCUGGGUCAAGACUGACGCUCAUGCACGAAAGCGUGGGGAGCAAACAGG